rnacentral:piRNA from 1 species
UUUCGCACAAGUACUUCAAAA